rnacentral:rRNA from 1 species
AUUGAACGCUGGCGGCAUGCCUUACACAUGCAAGUCGAACGGCAGCACGGGUGCUUGCCCCUGGUGGCGAGUGGCGAACGGGUGAGUAAUACAUCGGAACAUGUCCUGUAGUGGGGGAUAGCCCGGCGAAAGCCGGAUUAAUACCGCAUACGAUCUACGGAUGAAAGCGGGGGACCUUCGGGCCUCGCGCUAUAGGGUUGGCCGAUGGCUGAUUAGCUAGUUGGUGGGGUAAAGGCCUACCAAGGCGACGAUCAGUAGCUGGUCUGAGAGGACGACCAGCCACACUGGGACUGAGACACGGCCCAGACUCCUACGGGAGGCAGCAGUGGGGAAUUUUGGACAAUGGGCGAAAGCCUGAUCCAGCAAUGCCGCGUGUGUGAAGAAGGCCUUCGGGUUGUAAAGCACUUUUGUCCGGAAAGAAAUCCUUGGCCCUAAUACGGUCGGGGGAUGACGGUACCGGAAGAAUAAGCACCAGCUAACUACGUG